AUUUAGGAGAUAACAUGCACAAGGAUAUCUGGAUUUGAGGUUCAUGAAAUUGAUGAUAAUGCCAGCAAUACCAACUGGAACCAUCUGGCAGAAAAUCAAUCAUAUUUGCCUGUUAUUAUUGAGCACCCAAAGCCAUCACAAAAGAGAAGUAGCCAGAGGCUGUAAAAUAAACAGAAGUUGGAACUCUGUGAAGAUCGAAAGGAAUCAAACAUGGAGCAGGAAACGAUUGCCAAAUUCCACUCAAAUUCCAGUGAUCGACAACAUCAUGCAGAGAAGAUGUAAGUCUGCCUGCUUAAUGUUCGAUCUUUCCAAUUUUAUAUGACUGAGAAAUGACAAUUAUGCUUGGCCAAAAUAUUCGCACGGAAUAUGGAAGUAGAAAAUCUUCAAGACUGAAUCAAAGAUCUUGUGAGUUCACAAACGGCACUUCUGAGACUUUGCACGAUGACACUAUUGCUCAUUUGUCUCACUCCAUUUCAAAUGCCUUUAUCAGGAGGAGGGAAAGUGUCAAGCAUAACGAUUGCUGUCCAACCACUAAAAUCUCCAAAACAGCAGGCGGCAGAGAUGAGAUCUUCACUUGGAAGGCCAUCAAAUGUGCUUGCACUUUCUUGGGUCAUAGCCUAGACUUAUCAUGUGACUAUUUUUUCCGGAAGAGCCGACGACAGAGGUGAAAUCUCCAGAACGGCUGAUGUCACUCAGUAACCAUAACUCAUGUUUGUUCAUUGGUAAUUUGGCAAGUGCAUCAUGUACUUACGAUUUAUGCUAUUUCACAUUUUUGUAAAUAAGAGCUGAAGUGUUUCUUUUUCUGAAAGUUGGGUAUCCAACGCUCAUAUAUUCCUGUCUAACACACUCAGGUUUCUCUGUACUUUGUUAUUUACUCAAUUUUUGAAUGUACCCAAGUUUCCAUGUGUGAUAACUCCUCUUAUACACAUUUGUCUGCAAGCGUUGUAUGCAUUUCCAGUGGCUAUGCAUUAGAUUUUCUCUUGGGAUGACAUUUAAUCACUAUAACGGUUCGACUAAAUUGUUCGAUGUGAACACACAUAUUUACUUUUUCAUGUCUAGCUGAGCACUACCCCUGUAGUUUUUUUGUUUGUGCAGUUUCUGGCAAUCUGUGUCAAAAAAUCGUCGAUUCAUAUUUUGAAACUGAACUCAAGAUAACUUGGUUCAUUUGCAAUAGUUAACUAUUUGAAAUCACAUUGUGAUGAACUGAUAAACUAGAAGUGCGACCAACCUUAGCAAUUGUGCGCAAUGGGUGCAAUUUUCGGUGUUUAAAUUGGCUAAGUGAGCAAAAGUCCCUUUUUCUAUUGCGGCAUAUGCUCAACCAAUGACUUUGAUAAUUUAGGAGAACUUGAUGUGUAAGAUUUUUAAAACUGUUCCCGUUGUUCUGUGCUUAAAAUCUGUUGGUAUAACCCAUGAGGAACCUACUGAACAGUCCUAUCAGUUGUUGAAUUUUUCGUGAUGUGCUUGCACUUUCUUGGGUGACUACCUAGAUUUUUCUUCUGAGACUCCAGCACCGUUAUGGUUACUAAUGAGGUAGACACUUUCAUGAUUCCCGUUGUGAUUGACGAUGCUACUGGUGUGUAUACUUAUAUGUGGUGCCAUGAUUAUCUGCCCUCUAAUGAGCGUUGCAGUAAUAUAUUUCAUAGGUGCCUCUAUAUCGUCCGGACAUCCUGUGGUCUCAUGAAUAACAUGCUCAUAGGGUCUAUCUAAAUAUUACCUAUUAAUGUCGUCUAAACAUCAGUCCAUAUGCAUGUUGGGGUUUUGACCAGGUUAAAGUAACACUAGCUUCUUCCCAGGAUUAAAUCAGCAUGAUAGAUGCCAGUAGUCGAAAAAUAGUCCAGUGAUCCAAUCCUUUCGAUCUCUGACACAGCAGUAGAGAAGCAGCAAAUUAAUAACAGGUGAACUAGAUGCCAAAUAUUAUUAGCCUGGAAGAUCUUUGGAAAAAAAAUUACUGGUAGCUUGAAAGAAACUACAAAUUUUUUAUGACGUUUACUUACUCCUAUAAAAACAUUUUCAGUUAAAUUCAAUUUGUGUUGUUCGGGCCUUGAUAUUUCAUUGACAAUAGUAUGUACUUACUCUUUAAUGCCAAUUGCAAAUGGUCAUUAAUUCGUUACAAGUAAGAAAUUUUACCGAGCUAUAGGGAGAUCUCAGUAGUCCAACGUCAGACCAUGCCAGCUUGCUAACUACAGUUUUGGAUUACUUUCUUUAUACAAAUCAUGGGUAUUGAAGAUUAAACAUUUCUUCGUUAUUACAGUUUGCUGAUGGUCCUGCAUUGCUGGACUCUGGGUUGGUGCCUUCUUUGGUGCUUCUGUGCCAUCUGGGCGCAUCUUGAGGAGAAAUACUUAGUUCCUCAUGUCUGUGCUACUGCAGUUUGUUGCCGAGCGGUCUUAUAAAUUUAGGAAUGGAUACAACUUCAGUUUAAUUUUCUUCUGUAUUGUGUAUUCAUGACUGCAAGUUCUAUUCAAGUUUUUUAAUAUUUAAUAUAGUACAAUAUAUUAAUAGGAUAU